AAGAGUAAUUUUUAAAGUCUUCCAUUGAAAGUUCCAUAUAUUUUAAACACAAAAAGAAAUAGCCUAGCAUACAAACAUUCUAGGGAUUCCCAAAUAAUUUCUCUAAUAGCAGAGAUCUCUGAUGUGCAAGUGGCCAGCGUGUUCCCAAAAUAUAAGCACUUCUAAUCUUGGCAAACUUGUCCUUGAGAUGCCAAUGUUGACUGGUGACUAUCCACAGGCAGGGCUAGAAAAGGGAGUGGAACAUUUUACUUAGGCAGGAAGCACUGAAGAGAAGAAUCUUUUUUUCAGUAGACAUUUGUGGGAAAUAAAAAUUUGUUUAGAAGAAUUUAGGCCAAGAGAUAAAAUGGUCUUCUUUUGACUGAGGAGAGAUAAGAUAGAUUUUAAGCAGACAUCUGAAGUUAAAGGUGAGAGAAGGAAGAUAAACUGGGUGAUUUUGCUCACCUAAGAAGGUACACAGAUCCAAAGAAAAAGAGAUUCGAGAGGUGUCUCCAGCUUCUGAUUUUGAUGACAUCUCCCAGAGAGGACCGUGUUGCCAUCACCAUCCCAGAGUCUGAAAGUGUCCAGGUCUGUACUGGAAUAAUACUCAUCAGUUUGCUUAUAAAGGCUAUCAUUAAAAAUAAUAAUGUAAAAAUUAACUGCAAUACAGCAAGCUUUUGGAAGAAUAUAAACAUUCCCUCAAUGACCCAGAAAACUACACCAGGAUCCCUUCAGCAUCCCUCUGAGUGCUGAGUUGCAGGAGGGAUGGCUGUGGCUCUCUGAUUUGAAUUGAAACUACAGACAUCCAUCCUCUCAUUCUCCAUCCUAUGGACAUAAGAGGCAGUUGUCCCCAUGUUUCUGCUGCUUCUUAUCGUCUACUUCAGUGGCAGCCUCGGGCCGUGGUUUCUCUGGUGUGCCAGGUCAAUGUGUCCACGGAAGAGCUUGCUCCUGCAAACCCUUCCUGAUGAUUUCUUUAGACAACUCCCUGUGUUCAUUUCUGCCCUGCGUAAGAUACCUGGAAUAAUUUUUAUUCUCUAAUGAAUGAUUGAAAUAAAAGUCUUUCAUGAAAUAUCUGGAUUAUGGAAUGAAUAAAGUAGGAGUAAAUUCUAUAAAAAUGUUUGACAUCCUGUAGGUUGUAAGAAAACAUUUCAAGUUUAAUUUUUAUAAAUUUCUUUAUAUUAAAUAAUGUAUACUUGUAAAAAAUUUGAAACUAUAAAAUAUAAAUGUAGUGAAAAUGUCGUUGUUUCCUCAGAUCAAAGUAACAAGUAAGCAAGUUAACAUUUUGAAAUAUUUCCCAUCAUAUGUUUUUUCUAUUUAUAUUUUUUAGUACUUUGGAUCAUUCUGGAUUUAUAAUUUUAUAGAAUUACUUAUAAUCACUGCUAUAAUUAUAGAUUAAUACUCUUUAAAAUUUAUAACAAACUUAAUCACUGGGUGUUUCUCAUCUACAAAGGUGUCAUAACAAACUUUUUAUCUUACUGGAUAUUAGUUAAGAUUAUUUUCCCUUAAUAUAUCUUUUAUCCUUGGACAAGUAAAGAAAGAAUCUAUUUGUUUAAAAGUAAAUAUUUAUAUGAAUUCCAUUGAAUUUAAUAUUUUUACAUGUACUUAAAUUAAGUUUGUAGGGUUUUUUCUGUUUUUGUUUGAGUCAUGCAAAUAAAAUUGUGGCAUGGGACAU
rnacentral:lncRNA from 1 species